rnacentral:rRNA from 1 species
UACGAAGGGGGCUAGCGUUUGCUCGGAAUCACUGGGCGUAAAGGGCGCGUAGGCGGCCUGAUCAGUCGGGGGUGAAAGCCUGUGGCUCAACCACAGAAUGGCCUCGAUACUGUCAGGCUUGAGACCGGAAGAGGUAAGUGGAACUGCGAGUGUAGAGGUGAAAUUCGUAGAUAUUCGCAAGAACACCAGUGGCGAAGGCGGCUUACUGGUCCGGAUCUGACGCUGAGGCGCGAAAGCGUGGGGAGCAAACAGG